rnacentral:rRNA from 1 species
UACAGAGGGUGCGAGCGUUAAUCGGAAUUACUGGGCGUAAAGCGUGCGUAGACGGUCAUGUAAGUCGGAUGUGAAAGCCCCGGGCUCAACCUGGGAAUUGCAUUCGAGACUGCAUGGCUUGGGUGCGGAAGAGGGAAGCGGAAUUUCCGGUGUAGCGGUGAAAUGCGUAGAUAUCGGAAGGAACACCAGUGGCGAAGGCGGCUACCUGGAUUGACACUGACACUGAGGCGCGAGAGCGUGGGGAGCAAACAGG